rnacentral:rRNA from 1 species
GAUGAACGCUGGCGGCGUGCCUAAUACAUGCAAGUCGAGCGAACAGACGAGGAGCUUGCUCCUCUGACGUUAGCGGCGGACGGGUGAGUAACACGUGGAUAACCUACCUAUAAGACUGGGAUAACUUCGGGAAACCGGAGCUAAUACCGGAUAAUAUAUUGAACCGCAUGGUUCAAUAGUGAAAGACGGUUUUGCUGUCACUUAUAGAUGGAUCCGCGCCGCAUUAGCUAGUUGGUAAGGUAACGGCUUACCAAGGCAACGAUGCGUAGCCGACCUGGGAGGGGGUUCGGCCACACUGGAACUGGGACACGGUCCAGACUCCUACGGGAGGCAGCAGUAGGGAAUUUUCCGCAAUGGGGGAAAGCCUGACGGGGCAACGCCGCUGGGGUGAUGAAGGUUUUCGGAUCGUAAAACCCUGUUAUUAGGGAAGAACAAAUGUGUAAGUAACUGUUCACGUCUUGACGGUACCUAAUCAGAAAGCCACGGCUAACUACGUG